GACGAACGCUGGCGGCGUGCUUAACACAUGCCAGUCGAACGGAAAGGCCCCUUUGGGUGUCCUCGAGUGGCGAACGGGUGAGUAACACGUGAGUAACCUGCCCUUGACUUCGGGAUAACUUGAGGAAACUGGGGCUAAUACCGGAUAGGAAUCCUUGCUGCAUGGUGGGGGUUGGAAAGCUUCUGCGGCUUUGGGUGGACUCGCGGCUUAUCAGCUUGUUGGUGGGAUAGUGGCUUACCAAGGCUUUGACGGGUAGCCGGGCUGAGGGGGCGACCGGCCACAUUGGGACUGAGAGAAGGCACAGACGCCUACGGGAGGAAGCAGUGGGGAAGAUUGCACAAGGGGCGGAGGCCGGAUGCAGCAGCGCCGCGGGCGGGAUGACGGCCUUCGGGUUGUAAACCGCCUUCAGCAGGGGAGAAGCUUGUGGUGACGGUACCUGCAGAAGAAGCACCGGCUAACUACGUG
rnacentral:rRNA from 1 species